CCAAUAGCGUAUAUUAAAGUUGUUGCAGUUAAAAAGCUCGUAGUUGAAUUUCGGGAUCAAUGCGUCGGUCGUGCCUCGGUACGCACUAACGAUAUUGACCUCUACCUUCUGACGAACCGUGAUGUCAUUAAUUUGGUGUUACGGGGGGUUAGGACUGUUACUUUGAAAAAAUUAGAGUGUUUAAAGCAAGCAAUCGCUCGAAUACAUUAGCAUGGAAUAAUGAAAUAGGACGUUCGAACCUAUUUCGUUGGUUUCUAGGAUCGACGUAAUGAUUAAUAGGGAUAGUUGGGGGCAUUAGUAUUCAAUUGUCAGAGGUGAAAUUCUUGGAUUUAUUGAAGACUAACUACUGCGAAAGCAUUUGCCAAGGAUGUUUUCAUUAAUCAAGAACGAAAGUUAGGGGAUCGAAGACGAUCAGAUACCGUCGUAGUCUUAACCAUAAACUAUGCCGACUAGGGAUCGGAUGAUGUUAAUUUUUUAAUGACUCAUUCGGCGCCUUACG
rnacentral:rRNA from 1 species